UUCCUUUACUACAUGGUAUAACUGNGGUAAUUCUAGAGCUAAUACAUGCUUAAAAUCUCGACCCUUUGGAAGAGAUGUAUUUAUUAGAUAAAAAAUCAAUGUCUUCGGACUCUUUGAUGAUUCAUAAUAACUUUUCGAAUCGCAUGGCCUUGUGCUGGCGAUGGUUCAUUCAAAUUUCUGCCCUAUCAACUUUCGAUGGUAGGAUAGUGGCCUACCAUGGUUUCAACGGGUAACGGGGAAUAAGGGUUCGAUUCCGGAGAGGGAGCCUGAGAAACGGCUACCACAUCCNAGGAAGGCAGCAGGCGCGCAAAUUACCCAAUCCUAAUUCAGGGAGGUAGUGACAAUAAAUAACGAUACAGGGCCCAUUCGGGUCUUGUAAUUGGAAUGAGUACAAUGUAAAUACCUUAACGAGGAACAAUUGGAGGGCAAGUCUGGUGCCAGCAGCCGCGGUAAUUCCAGCUCCAAUAGCGUAUAUUAAAGUUGUUGCAGUUAAAAAGCUCGUAGUUGAACUUUGGGCCCGGUUGGCCGGUCCGAUUUUUUCGUGUACUGGAUUUCCAACGGGGCCUUUCCUUCUGGCUAACCUUGAGUCCUUGUGGCUCUUGGCGAACCGGGACUUUUACUUUGAAAAAUUAGAGUGUUCAAAGCAGGCGUAUUGCUCGAAUAUAUUAGCAUGGAAUAAUAGAAUAGGACGUUUGGGUUCUAUUUUGUUGGUUUCUANGACCAUCGUAAUGAUUAAUAGGGACGGUCGGGGGCAUCAGUAUUCA
rnacentral:rRNA from 1 species